rnacentral:rRNA from 1 species
GACGAACGCUGGCGGCGUGCUUAACACAUGCAAGUCGAACGAAGAGCGAUGGACGCUUGCUUCUAUCAAUCUUAGUGGCGAACGGGUGAGUAACGCGUAAUCAACCUGCCCUUCAGAGGGGGACAACAGUUGGAAACGACUGCUAAUACCGCAUACGAUCUAAUCUCGGCAUCGAGGAUAGAUGAAAGGUGGCCUCUACAUGUAAGCUAUCACUGAAGGAGGGGAUUGCGUCUGAUUAGCUAGUUGGAGGGGUAACGGCCCACCAAGGCGAUGAUCAGUAGCCGGUCUGAGAGGAUGAACGGCCACAUUGGGACUGAGACACGGCCCAGACUCCUACGGGAGGCAGCAGUGGGGAAUCUUACGCAAUGGACGAAAGUCUGACGGAGCAACGCCGCGUGAGUGAUGACGGCCUUCGGGUUGUAAAGCUCUGUCAAUCGGGACGAAAGGCCUUCUUGCGAAUAGUGAGAAGGAUUGACGGUACCGGAAUAGAAAGCCACGGCUAACUACGUG